UCGUACCGAGAACCGACACAGGUGCGCUGGCUUAGAAAGCUAAGGUGCUACGGGUAUACCGUAUGGUGAGGGAAUUCGGCAAAUUAGUCCUGUAGCUUAGGUAUAAGGGAUGCCUGCACACUUCAUGAGGAAUGGGGUGAGCAGGUUGCAAUGACAAGGGGGUUUCGACUGUUUAAUAAAAACACAGGCGACUGCUAGUCCGAAAGGAUUUGUAUAGUCGCUGAAUCCUGGCCGGUGCGGGUACCUAAAACUUGGGUUCAACCGAGCUAAGGGCCCGUUAACGCCGGGAGUAACUCUGACUCUCUUAAGGUAGCCAAAUGCCUUGUCGGGUAAGUUCCGACGCGCAUGAAUGGAACAACGAGAGCCCCACUGUCCCCACCUACAACCCGGUGAAGCCACAUAAGGUGGACGAACAGUCCAUCAACUUCCAUCGGGGAGAGAAGACCCCGUGGAGUUUUACUGCAGCUUGUGCUUGUAGUAUAGUAAAGAUUACAUAGUGUAUUUGGGAGCCAUGCCUCAUUUUCUUUGGGAAAUGAGUGAAGCAACGAUGUAACACCAAAUUAUUUUUGCAGUACUACUUACCCGGUGCAGACCGGGGACAUGUGCAGGUGGGCAGUUCGGCUGGGGCGGCACCCCUCUGAAAAAAUAUCAGAGGGGCCCAAAGUUUAGUUCAAACGGGUCAGAAAUCCGUUGAAGAGGGCAAAGCCAAAAACUAGACUGACUGGAUUUCCAAACGCACGGAAUUCAGAGACGAAAGUCGGGCUUAGCGAUCCUUCGUGUGCCCACUAUUGGGGCCCGAAGGUGACAGAAAAAUUACCCCAGGGAUAACAGGCUCGUCGCGGGCGAGAGCUCCUAUCGACCCCGCGGUUUGGUACCUCGAUGUCGGCUUUUCCUAUCCUGGUCCUGCAGCAGGGGCCAAGGGUGAGGCUGCUCGCCUAUUAAAAGGGAACAUGAGCUGGGUUUAGACCGUCGUGAGACAGGUCGGUCUCUGCCUGAUGGAAGCGUCGCUGUCUGAGGGGAAGUUGCUCUUAGUACGAGAGGAACAGAGCAUCGUCGCCGCUGGUGUACCGGUUGUCUGAUAAGGCAGGCCGGGCAGCUAAGCGAUUUAGGUUAAGUGCUGAAAGCAUCUAAGCACGAAGCCUAUCC
rnacentral:rRNA from 1 species